rnacentral:rRNA from 1 species
GAUGAACGCUGGCGGCGUGCCUAAUACAUGCAAGUCGAGCGAACAGACGAGGAGCUUGCUCCUCUGACGUUAGCGGCGGACGGGUGAGUAACACGUGGAUAACCUACCUAUAAGACUGGGAUAACUUCGGGAAACCGGAGCUAAUACCGGAUAACAUGUUGAACCGCAUGGUUCAACAGUGAAAGACGGUUUUGCUGUCACUUAUAGAUGGAUCCGCGCCGCAUUAGCUAGUUGGGAAGGUAACGGCUUACCAAGGCAACGAUGCGUAGCCGACCUGAGAGGGUGAUCGGCCACACUGGAACUGAGACACGGUCCAGACUCCUACGGGAGGCAGCAGUAGGGAAUCUUCCGCAAUGGGCGAAAGCCUGACGGAGCAACGCCGCGUGAGUGAAGAAGGUCUUCGGAUCGUAAAACUCUGUUAUUAGGGAAGAACAAAUGUGUAAGUAACUAUGCACGUCUUGACGGUACCUAAUCAGAAAGCCACGGCUAACUACGUG